rnacentral:rRNA from 1 species
UACGGAGGGUGCAAGCGUUAUCCGGAUUCACUGGGUUUAAAGGGUGCGUAGGUGGACAGGUAAGUCAGUGGUGAAAUCCCCGAGCUUAACUCGGGAACUGCCGUUGAUACUAUCUGUCUUGAAUAUCGCGGAGGUAAGCGGAAUAUGCCAUGUAGCGGUGAAAUGCUUAGAUAUGACAUAGAACACCGAUUGCGAAGGCAGCUUACUACACGAUCAUUGACACUGAGGCACGAAAGCGUGGGGAGCAAACAGG